UACGAAGGGGGCUAGCGUUGCUCGGAAUCACUGGGCGUAAAGGGUGCGUAGGCGGGUCUUUAAGUCAGGGGUGAAAUCCUGGAGCUCAACUCCAGAACUGCCUUUGAUACUGAAGAUCUUGAGUUCGGGAGAGGUGAGUGGAACUGCGAGUGUAGAGGUGAAAUUCGUAGAUAUUCGCAAGAACACCAGUGUCGAAGGCGGCUCACUGGCCCGAUACUGACGCUGAGGCACGAAGGUCAGGGGAGCAAACGGG
rnacentral:rRNA from 1 species